rnacentral:rRNA from 1 species
AUGAGAAGCACACAAUUAAGUGAGAGCUUGAAUAGUGACUUGAAAGACCAUUUGAAGUCUGAUCUUGACAUUCUUCAUUUUUUCAAGCACGUAGAGAGGGUUGUGAAAGGAAAGAGAGAUAAAGAGCGAUGGACUCGAGAAGCACGAAGCGGCACUAUUCAAAACAGCCAUGGCAACAUUGUUUUGCAAGACCCUAGAUCCGAAGAUAGGCAGCAGCUUAAGUUUUUCAUGCAUGAGUUCCUUGGCAUAGCUUCCCAAGCAGUUGCAUCACAAGAGUGCAUAAAAUUAGUAGAUGAUGCUUUGAAGAAUCUAAAGAAGCAAGUUGAAGACAAAGCUCCUACUACUACAUGCAGAACUGAAGCUAUAUCUCAGGAACCAGACAUUUGUUUGCAAACAGCCUGUCUGAAGAAAAAGGAAAUUCAGCAGAAGACUUCAAAAAGGAAGAAAUCAUGGCUUGAUAAUCAACAUCCCAGUAAAAAGAAAAAAGGGGCAGCU